AUGUCGUGAUGAGGGCACUUUCAUAAUAACUCCUUGAAUCGCUCCCAUGCCUCAUAUUAAGAUUCUUCGUCGAGUUUCUGAAAUGAAGUGAUUUCAUUUCGGACCUU
rnacentral:snoRNA from 1 species